GAUGAACGCUGGCGGCGUGCCUAAUACAUGCAAGUCGAGCGAACAGACGAGGAGCUUGCUCCUCUGACGUUAGCGGCGGACGGGUGAGUAACACGUGGAUAACCUACCUAUAAGACUGGGAUAACUUCGGGAAACCGGAGCUAAUACCGGAUAAUAUCUUGAACCGCAUGGUUCAAUAGUGAAAGACGGUUUUGCUGUCACUUAUAGAUGGAUCCGUGCCGCAUUAGCUAGUUGGCAAGGUAACGGCAUACCAAGGCGACGAUGCGUAGACGACCUGAGAGGGUGAUCGGCCACACUGGAACUGAGACACGGUCCAGACUCCUACGGGAGGCAGCAGUAGGGAAUCUUCCGCAAUGGGCGAAAGCCUGACGGAGCAACGCCGCGUGAGUGAUGAAGGUCUUCGGAUCGUAAAACUCUGUUAUUAGGGAAGAACAAAUGUGUAAGUAACUAUGCACGUCUUGACGGUACCUAAUCAGAAAGCCACGGCUAACUACGUG
rnacentral:rRNA from 1 species